rnacentral:tRNA from 2 species
GCGGGUAUAGUAUAGUGGCCAUUAUGUCUGCUUUCCAAGCAGAAGAUGGGGGUUCGACUCCCCCUACCCGCUCCA